rnacentral:lncRNA from 1 species
AGUUUGUAAACAUGCUAAUAAAUUCAGCAAACAAUCCUUAGUCUCAAAGACUAUUUACAAAAAAUAUUCCGGAGUGCACUUGAUACACUGCACACCUAUCUCCAGGAAGCCCUUGUGCACUUGCGAAAGGAGGCCUUUCCACCCCCCAGUGAGAAAAUGCAGAGAGGGCAGCUGAGGAGCUGUAUGGAGGAGCAAGCAGCUACAGAGUCUCUACAGCCACAGCCAACUUCUUACCACAUCUGAAGAGUUUCAAAAAGGAAACUAGCAAGCCACCAUAGCACUGAGGUAGAACCACAACAAAACCUGGGGCAAUGGCAACUGCACGAAUGUAAGCACUUGUUUUCAUUUUCCUCUCCCUUUUUUGACUGUUGUGGGUUUCAGUGGUGGUUUCAAACUCACUUCUUAGAAGUUUCAUUUUCUUUUCUUUUUGUAGCUUGGAUUUAGAUUAAGUAUAAUGGUAGAGGAGGUAAGGCUUGAAUCAUUUCCAUGCAUCAUCACUGUCUAUAUCUUUUUU